UCAAUCUCGUGCGGCUAUAUAUACCGCCGGUCCCUCUAAGAAGAUUUUCAUUGUACGCCGGUAGUGAAGACCGCGAAACGCGCGCCGACGACGCGUGAACGCCGCCGGGACACGCGCACGCGGGCCCUCGUGAUACCGGUUGCACGUCUAUUUAAUAGGCUAGAGUUACGUUCGUUAC
rnacentral:rRNA from 1 species